rnacentral:rRNA from 1 species
GAUGAACGCUGGCGGCGUGCUUAACACAUGCAAGGUCGAACGGAAGAUGCCGGAGUGCUUGCACUUUGGCAGACUGAGUGGCGGACGGGUGAGUAACGCGUGGGUAACCUGCCUUAUACAGGGGGAUAACAGUUGGAAACGACUGCUAAUACCGCAUAAGCGCACGGUAUCGCAUGAUACAGUGUGAAAAACUCCGGUGGUAUAAGAUGGACCCGCGUCUGAUUAGCUUGUUGGUGAGGUAACGGCCCACCAAGGCGACGAUCAGUAGCCGGCCUGAGAGGGUGAACGGCCACAUUGGGACUGAGACACGGCCCAAACUCCUACGGGAGGCAGCAGUGGGGGAUAUUGCACAAUGGGGGAAACCCUGAUGCAGCGACGCCGCGUGGAGGAAGAAGGUUUUCGGAUUGUAAACUCCUGUCGUUAGGGACGAUAAUGACGGUACCUAACAAGAAAGCACCGGCUAACUACGUG